UACGUAGGGGCGAGCGUUAUCCGGAAUUAUUGGGCGUAAAGCGCGCGCAGGCGGCUGAUUAAGUCAGGUGUGAAAGGCUACGGCUCAACCGUAGUAAGCCUUUGAAACUGGGAAACUUGAGUGCAGGAGAGGAGAGUGGAAUUCCUAGUGUAGCGGUGAAAUGCGUAGAUAUUAGGAGGAACACCAGUUGCGAAGGCGGCUCUCUGGACUGUAACUGACACUGAGGCACGAAAGCGUGGGGAGCAAACAGGAUUAGAUACCCUGGUA
rnacentral:rRNA from 1 species